rnacentral:rRNA from 1 species
GUUUGAUGGCGACCGGCGCACGGGUGAGUAACACGUAUCCAACCUGCCGAUGACUCGGGGAUAGCCUUUCGAAAGAAAGAUUAAUACCCGAUGGCAUAGUUCUUCCGCAUGGUGGAACUAUUAAAGAAUUUCGGUCAUCGAUGGGGAUGCGUUCCAUUAGGUUGUUGGCGGGGUAACGGGCCCACCAAGCCUUCGAUGGAUAGGGGUUCUGAGAGGAAGGUCCCCCACAUUGGAACUGAGACACGGUCCAAACUCCUACGGGAGGCAGCAUG